AUCUCGUGGUGUAGGCAUUUAGCUAACUUUUUAUUAAAUCUCUCCCAUACUUCAUGAGGCGUCUCCCCACUCCUUUGUCUAAAGUUUAUGAUCUCUUCUCUCAUGUU
rfam:Capsicum annuum cultivar Zunla-1 chromosome 1, whole genome shotgun sequence